GGAGCGCAGCCUUCUCCUUCCCCGAGCUGGACUCCUGGUCGCGCAGGCACCGCGCCCUGUAUCUGACGGUGACGGGCCACGCCUGAUCUUUCCGAUUACCACGCGAUUCUCACGCGUAUGCACCACAUCGUGACGCCCUCGAUCCCUCCGCCGAUUCCUCCACUCGCACCGUGAAAUCGAGCGCACGAUCCCGCCGGAGUUCCACUCCUGAAGCUUCUGCCGCCGUUGAUUUCGUCACCGAGCGAGGAUCACCGAACGGAGCUUCUUGACGCCUGAUUACGCUCGCUGUCGCUGCACGCACUUCAGCCACGCACCACCAUCGCUGGAGGCAGAAACCGGCGUCGAUAACCACCAUCGCCAUCCCCGUCGAACGCCGUGUCCACAUGUCAGUCCUCCGUCGCCGGAGAUUCACCGUAGAUGUCGCAGUCGUCCACCGGCAGGAGCACAGCCGACGUUCACGUCGCCGCCGUCGCGCACGGAGGAAGCCCCGCCACCGUUCGACCUCACCACUACCUCCGCCGCUCGAAGCCGCACCCAUCCGCCCCUUCACUCUCACCGGAGACCCGCCGGAGAAGCGCCACCGUCGACGCCCGAAACUGCCGCCGCAUCAUCUCUGUUGCUGGUGAGCAUGCGCGCGCACAGGAACUCUACAGCCAAUCGUGUGGUGACACGUAGCCAUCCGCUACAGUGGACGCGACAGCAUCGCUACAGUAAUUCCAGAGAAGGGUUUUCCUUUUUGUUUUUUUUUUCAGAUUUCAACUAAACUUCUUUUAGCUAUAUCUUUUAGUCUACAAAUCCAAUUUAGGUUAUUCUUUUUCCUAUGCACUCACAAUGACCAGAAGAAUAUGGCAGAACCAAAAUUUCACAUGUUUGCACUUUUCAUAUUUGAAUUCAUUCAAAUUUGAAUUAAAUCUUCCGGAGGCCUUAACUUUCAAACCGAUUGUCGGAAUCGAGUGAUUCUUUUUGCGUCUGGAAACUUGUAUCAAAUACUCGUUGAAUUUAUUCUGUAGACUCAAAAUUUCAAACUUUUGACCUGUUUGAAUUUAAAUUCAAUUCAAAGUU